rnacentral:rRNA from 1 species
GGGUUGUGAGGUUAAGCGACUAAGCGUACACGGUGGAUGCCCUGGCAGUCAGAGGCGAUGAAGGACGUGCUAAUCUGCGAUAAGCGUCGGUAAGGUGAUAUGAACCGUUAUAACCGGCGAUUUCCGAAUGGGGAAACCCAGUGUGAUUCGUCACACUAUCAUUAACUGAAUYCAUAGGUUAAUGAGGCGAACCGGGGGAACUGAAACAUCUAAGUACCCCGAGGAAAAGAAAUCAACCGAGAUUCCCCCAGUAGCGGCGAGCGAACGGGGAGSAGCCCAGAGCCUGAAUCAGUGUGUGUGUUAGUGGAAGCGUCUGGAAAGGCGCGCGAUACAGGGUGACAGCCCCGUACACAAAAAUGCACAUGCUGUGAGCUCGAUGAGUAGGGCGGGACACGUGGUAUCCUGUCUGAAUAUGGGGGGACCAUCCUCCAAGGCUAAAUACUCCUGACUGACCGAUAGUGAACCAGUACCGUGAGGGAAAGGCGAAAAGAACCCCGGCGAGGGGAGUGAAAAAGAACCUGAAACCGUGUACGUACAAGCAGUGGGAGCCUCUUWAUGGGGUGACUGCGUACCUUUUGUAUAAUGGGUCAGCGACUUAUAUUCUGUAGCAAGGUUAACCGAAUAGGGGAGCCGAAGGGAAACCGAGUCUUAACUGGGCGUUAAGUUGCAGGGUAUAGACCCGAAACCCGGUGAUCUAGCCAUGGGCAGGUUGAAGGUUGGGUAACACUAACUGGAGGACCGAACCGACUAAUGUUGAAAAAUUAGCGGAUGACUUGUGGCUGGGGGUGAAAGGCCAAUCAAACCGGGAGAUAGCUGGUUCUCCCCGAAAGCUAUUUAGGUAGCGCCUCGUGAAUUCAUCUCCGGGGGUAGAGCACUGUUUCGGCAAGGGGGUCAUCCCGACUUACCAACCCGAUGCAAACUGCGAAUACCGGAGAAUGUUAUCACGGGAGACACACGGCGGGUGCUAACGUCCGUCGUGAAGAGGGAAACAACCCAGACCGCCAGCUAAGGUCCCAAAGUCAUGGUUAAGUGGGAAACGAUGUGGGAAGGCCCAGACAGCCAGGAUGUUGGCUUAGAAGCAGCCAUCAUUUAAAGAAAGCGUAAUAGCUCACUGGUCGAGUCGGCCUGCGCGGAAGAUGUAACGGGGCUAAACCAUGCACCGAAGCUGCGGCAGCGACRCUAUGYGUUGUUGGGUAGGGGAGCGUUCUGUAAGCCUGYGAAGGUGUACUGUGAGGUAUGCUGGAGGUAUCAGAAGUGCGAAUGCUGACAUAAGUAACGAUAAAGCGGGUGAAAAGCCCGCUCGCCGGAAGACCAAGGGUUCCUGUCCAACGUUAAUCGGGGCAGGGUGAGUCGACCCCUAAGGCGAGGCCGAAAGGCGUAGUCGAUGGGAAACAGGUUAAUAUUCCUGUACUUGGUGUUACUGCGAAGGGGGGACGGAGAAGGCUAUGUUGGCCGGGCGACGGUUGU